rnacentral:rRNA from 1 species
UACAGAGGUGGCAAGCGUUGUUCGGAAUUACUGGGCGUAAAGGGCGCGUAGGCGGUCUUCUAAGUCUUGUGUGAAAUCCCUCGGCUCAACUGAGGAACUGCACGGGAUACUGGAAGACUUGAGUUCGGGAGAGGGAAGCGGAAUUCCGGGUGUAGCGGUGGAAUGCGUAGAUAUCGGGAGGAACACCAGUGGCGAAGGCGGCUUCCUGGACCUGUUCUGACACUGAGGAGCGAAAGCGUGGGGAGCGAGCCGG